rnacentral:rRNA from 1 species
UCUAAGGUGGGGGCGAUGAUUGGGGUGAAGUCGUAACAAGGUAGCCGUAUCGGAAGGUGCGGCUGGAUCACCUCCUUU